GUCGAGUGGGUUUAGACCCACGGCAAACGGCUGCGUAACACGUUGGAAUCUGCCCCGAACUCAGGGAUAUCCCUCCGAAAGGAGGAGUAAUACCGGAUGCCCUCGCAAGAGGAAAGAUUUUUCGGUUCGGGAGGAGCCUGCGGCCUAUCAGCUAGUUGGUGAGGUAACGGCUCACCAAGGCAAUGACGGGUAGCUGGUCUGAGAGGACGACCAGCCAGAAUGGAACUGCGACACGGUCCAUACUCCUACGGGAGGCAGCAGUGAGGAAUCUUCCGCAAUGGACGAAAGUCUGACGGAGCGACGCCGCGUGGUGGAUGAAGGCCUUAACUGGUUGUAAACACCUGUUCUGAGGGACGAAAUUUUUGACGGUACCUCAGGAGAAAGUAUCGGCAAACCCUGUGCCAGCAGCCGCGGUAAGACAGGGGAUACAAGCGUUACUCGGAAUUACUGGGCGUAAAGCGUCUGUAGGUGCUUUGGAAAGUCUGAGGUAAAAGCUCGGGGCUCAACCCUGAGAUCGUCUCGGAAACUUCCAAAGUUGAGCAGUGGAGAGGCAUCUGGAAUGCCGCAUGUAGGAGUAAAAUCCGUAGAGAUGCGGUAGAACGCCAAAAGCGAAGGCAGGAUGCUGGCCACUUGCUGACACUGAGAGACGAAAGCGUGGGGAGCGAAGCGGAUUAGAUACCCGCGUAGUCCACGCCCUAAACGAUGCGAGCUCGAUGUGGGAGGUUCUCAAUUGCCUUCCGUGUCCAAGCUUACGCGGUAAGCUCGCCGCCUGGGAAGUACGGCCGCAAGGCUAAAACUCAAGGAAUAGACGGGGACCCACACAAGCGGUGGAGCAUGGGGUUUAAUUCGAUAGUAAGCGAAGCACCUCACCCGGGUUUGACAUCUCGGGAAUC
rnacentral:rRNA from 1 species